rnacentral:piRNA from 1 species
UAGGUUUUUGCUUUCCUGGAUUGC